rnacentral:lncRNA from 1 species
UCCCAUCACAUACAGGCAGUAUUAUACAAACAUGUCAUCAUUACACAAACUAUAGCUGGAUACUCUGAUAAAAUUGACACUUGUGUACUGUUGUAGUUGUCCACCUCCUAUACUGCCUUCAUCUGUAAUACUCUUUCUCAAUAAGGGAUUGGAAAUUUAUCUCCGUGAACUGCAUUCAGUCUUGCUGCCUUCAGUCUGAUAUUUAUCUUCAUGAAGGCCUUCAUGGUUGCUGCCUUGCUGGUUUCAUUUGUCAAGUGAUUGUAAAAUUUGUGUACUCCGCUACCCUAACUGUAAUGUCUGUUUUCAUUGUCUUGUUAAGUGAUUGUAAUUAUUAUUAAGAAAUCAUUACUUUGAUCAUCAAACCAUUUGGAGGAAAUAAUUGAAAUAAAAAUAAUCUUUUGUUACAUCUGACUCCACUAACUCCCAUAUGACAAGCAAAGAUAAGAAUUGGGUCCAAAAUAACAUUUGAUACAUCUCCUGCAACUAUAUUAAGGAUAAAGUGAGCUUAGUUGAAAUCUGCAAACCUUUAAAAGGUAUGUACUAAAAUAUGUACAGAUCCUUAAAAGCAUUACAGUAGGCAAAAUGUAUUACAAUUCUCACAUACACUCAGAUCAAUCUUGAGUAUACUAGUGCAUUGCAUACUAGUGCAUUCAGAUCAAUCUUGGACCAAAACAAAUCAAAAUUGAGCCCAAGGAACACAAACGCCAAAAGUCUUUGAUGUGUGGAUCUACGAUGUCUGUAAUUUGCCUAAUAGUUUCAUGUAUUAUGUUGUGUGAUGAUGAAAAACUUAAAUUUGAAAUGUAAUGUGGAGAUGUUAUACUGCAACUCCAUUAUAAACUUUUGGGUACAUUUUUAAUUUCCUAAUAAAUGAAUAUGUUCCGGGCAUAAUGACAAAAAAUAGUGAGAACAAAAGAUUAUAGAGCACGUUGUUGCCUUUGUAUAACAAGAUACUAAUGUAAUGCUUUUAAGGAUCUGUACAUAUAUAUAGGUAGUAUGAUGCGCUAUAUGCAUAACUAGAUGCAGCAACAGCUAACAAAUUGGCCUCCAGACCAGGCAGCAUACGAUAUGAGAGUAGAAUGCCAAGAACCAAAGCACCUUUUUGUCGGAUUCAAGGAAGAAAGUACAAAAAUCCUAAACCCUUACCCGUUCGUGUUCAACUUCGGCCGGAAUCUUGGGAGACAGAGACAGAGAUAUUCAACUUGUGUCCAACGACCAGAAUCUCUUUGUGACGGAGACGCGAUGAUUUCGUCCAGAGUUUGUGAAAGAAAGACGAAGAGAAAGGAGGCCAAUUUCGUCCUGCGAUGUUUCCAACGUCCGGCGAUGUUUCCAACGUCCGGCGAUGAUUUCGUCCGGAGCUUUGUGUUCAAUUUCG